rnacentral:pre_miRNA from 1 species
CUAGUACUCCCUCCGUCUCAAAAUUUUGUCUUAGAUUUGUCUAGGUACGGAUGUAUCUAGUCAUGUCAUAGUAUUUAGAUACAUCUAUUUUUAGACAAACCUAAGACAAGAAUUUUGAAACGGAGAAAUUUGUUG